rnacentral:tRNA from 1 species
CGGGCUGUGGCGCAGCUUGGUAGCGCACCUCACUGGGGGUGAGGGGGUCGUGGGUUCGAAUCCCGCCAGCCCGA